AAUGCUUAGGAAUCUGCCUAUUAGUGGGGGACAACAUUCCGAAAGGAAUGCUAAUACCGCAUACGCCCUUCGGGGGAAAGCAGGGGAUCUUCGGACCUUGCGCUAAUAGAUGAGCCUAAGUCAGAUUAGCUAGUUGGUGGGGUAAAGGCCUACCAAGGCGACGAUCUGUAGCGGGUCUGAGAGGAUGAUCCGCCACACUGGGACUGAGACACGGCCCAGACUCCUACAGGAGGCAGCAGUGGGGAAUAUUGGACAAUGGGCGCAAGCCUGAUCCAGCCAUGCCGCGUGUGUGAAGAAGGCCUUUUGGUUGUAAAGCACUUUAAGCGAGGAGGAGGCUACUUGGAUUAAUACUCUAGGAUAGUGGACGUUACUCGCAGAAUAAGCACCGGCUAACUCUGUGCCAGCAGCCGCGGUAAUACAGAGGGUGCGAGCGUUAAUCGGAUUUACUGGGCGUAAAGCGUGCGUAGGCGGCUUUUUAAGUCGGAUGUGAAAUCCCUGAGCUUAACUUAGGAAUUGCAUUCGAUACUGGGAAGCUAGAGUAUGGGAGAGGAUGGUAGAAUUCCAGGUGUAGCGGUGAAAUGCGUAGAGAUCUGGAGG
rnacentral:rRNA from 1 species